GAUGUCAAGACGGCUGCCAUACACACCCAAGGACA
rnacentral:tRNA from 1 species